rnacentral:rRNA from 1 species
GACGAACGCUGGCGGCGUGCUUAACACAUGCAAGUCGAACGGAAAGGCCCUGCUUUUGUGGGGUGCUCGAUUGGCGAACGGGUGAGUAACACGUGAGUAACCUGCCCUUGACUUUGGGAUAACUUCAGGAAACUGGGGCUAAUACCGGAUAGGAGCUCCUGCUGCAUGGUGGGGGUUGGAAAGUUUCGGCGGUUGGGGAUGGACUCGCGGGUUAUCAGCUUGUUGGUGGGGUAGUGGCGUACCAAGGCUUUGACGGGUAGCCGGCCUGAGAGGCUGACCGGCGACAUUGGGACUGAGAUACGGCGCAGACUCCUACGGGAGGCAGCAGUGGGGAGUAUUGCACAAUGGGCGGAAGCCUGAUGCAGCAACGCCGCGUGCGGGAUGACGGCUUUCGGGUUGUAAACCGCUUUCGCAUGUGACGAAGCGUGAGUGACGGUAAUGGGUAAAGAAGCACCGGCUAACUACGUG